AGCAUUUCCAUGGUGACCACCAUGAAAAAGGAGGAAGGGUCUAAGUUGGGCCUCUUCUCUUACUUCCUGGAGAAUCAUGAAGAUGAUCUGUAGACUGCUGGGCAAGCAUGAAUGUGGGUGAGUUUAUGCUGCCAUUUUACCAGUCACAGGAGUGUGACACUGGAUCUCUUUUCAAGAAGAACUUACCCUCCAGCUGGAAGAAGUGUAGUGAGAUCAGGACCUCCAGCUACAGCACCUUUCCAGAUCUGAUGCCACAUUUGGCUAAAGACAUGCUCUUCCAAGAACAGCCACCAGCCAAUGACAGCUCAGUGGGCCAUUAAAGCCAGGCUAUCUCUGUCCAACGUGGUAUUCUACUAACAGGCAACUUUUGUUCUGGAGAUUCCCAUUGGGUUGGUUAAAAUUUUAACUAAUUUACAUCAAAGCCCAAGUCUCUCUUUACACAAUUGUUUCCUCAAAUUUCCUUUCAUGGGGUCUCAGCUCAGGAAUAGCAUUGAAGGCUCUCUUCUUCAUUCUGUUCCUUCUUCCACUUUUAUAUUUCAUAGGGCUUGCCCCAUAAGAUAACCCUUGCCCUAACUUUCUCUCAGCGUCUGCUCCCCAGAUGAGCUGUACUGAUACAAUCUGCCUUAAUCUUUGUAAGCAUUUUUAAAAAAUGACAAAACUUGUAUUAAUAUUUUCCAAUUGUU